rnacentral:rRNA from 1 species
AUACGUAGGGGGCGAGCGUUGUCCGGAAUUAUUGGGCGUAAAGGGCGCGUAGGCGGCUCGGUAAGUCUGGAGUGAAAGUCCUGUUUUUAAGAUGGGAAUUGCUUUGGAUACUGUCGGGCUUGAGUGCAGGAGAGGUAAGUGGAAUUCCAAGUGUAGCGGUGAAAUGCGUAGAGAUUGGGUGGAACACCAGUGGCGAAGGCGACUUACUGGACUGUAACUGACGCUCAUGCGCGAAAGUGUGGAGAGCAAACAGGAUUAGAGACCCUGGUAGUCCACACUGUAAACGAUGUAUGCUAGGUGUAGUGGGUAUCGACCCCUUCUGUGCCGCAGUCAACACAAUAAGCAUUCCGCCUGGGGAGUACGGCCGCAAGGUUGAAACUCAAAUGAAGUGACGGGU